rnacentral:rRNA from 1 species
AGGGUUCGAUUCUGGCUCAGGAUGAACGCUGGCGGCGCGCCUAACACAUGCAAGUCGAACGAUUAAAGCACCUUCGGGUGUGUAUAAAGUGGCGAACGGCUGAGUAACACGUGGGCAACCUGCCCCUCUCAUUGGGAUAGCCACGGGAAACCGUGGAUAAUACCGAAUACUUCGAGACUUCCGCAUGGAAGACUCGAGAAAGCUCCGGCGGAGAGGGAUGGGCCCGCGGCCUGUUAGCUUGUUGGUGGGGUAACGGCCUACCAAGGCAAUGAUGGGUAGCUGGGUUGAGAGACCGACCAGCCAGAUUGGGACUGAGACACGGCCCAG